UUAUUCAGUGAAGUAGGAGGAGCCACCCCACCCAGUGGGGUCAAACUAGAGGACAUGGGUUAGAUUUGUCUUCAGCCUUUGUUAAGACCGGAGUCCAGAUUCAGCACAUCAGGUCCUAUGUCACUGCAUUUGGAGCUGAAUUUUUGUGCAGGAUGAGAGGCAUGCCUGUUGCUCAUAUCAGACAGUCCUUGAAUUUUGAAGUAUAUAUGAGAGAAAAAAAAUGUGCUAUCUAUGCUUCGGUUACUGUAAUCAUCAUUAUCAUCAUUGUCAUCAUCAUCAUCAUCUUCACCAUUUUGCUCAUGGUUUCUACGUGAUCCACCAUGGUGCCAAAGGUGUAUCAAGUUUCAGCUGUCCUGGAACUGGCUCUGUAGACCAAAUUUGCCUUGAACUCAUGGAGAUUUGCCUGCUCCUGCUUUGAGCGUUGGGAUUAAAGGCACUAACCACCACCAUCACCUGCCAAUCUCCAUUAUCUUUAUAACGGAAAAUUAAAUAACCACUUUCCCAUUUUUCAAAUGUAAAAUGUCUGCCUUGCAGGGUAUGGGUUACCAAAUAUAGUCUGUUCAGAUAGACGGUAAUAA